rnacentral:tRNA from 1 species
GAGGGCAUAGCUCAGGGGUAGAGCGUGUGCUUAGCAUGCACGAGGUCCUGGGUUCAAUCCCCAGUGCGUCA